rnacentral:rRNA from 1 species
UACGUAGGGGGCUAGCGUUGUCCGGAUUUAUUGGGCGUAAAGAGCGUGUAGGCGGCCAGGUAGGUCUGCUGUGAAAACUCGAGGCUUAACCUCGAGAUGUCGGCGGAAACCAUCUGGCUAGAGUCCGGAAGAGGAGAGUGGAAUUCCUGGUGUAGCGGUGAAAUGCGCAGAUAUCAGGAAGAACACCCGUGGCGAAGGCGGCUCUCUGGGACGGUACUGACGCUGAAGACGCGA